UUUUUUUUUUUUUAAUUUUUCACUCUUAAACUAACACUGCGAUAAGCAUCUUUGUAUGUAAGAGAGUGUUUAUAUUUCAACUUAUUUUCCUAGGGUAGAUUUUUAGAAGUUGAAUUACUGGGCCAAAGAGUAACAAUAUUUUGAUUCUUGACACAUUGUGCCAAACUGCUUCCCAAAAAGACUCACCAGUUUGUACUUUCUUUAUCAGAAGAGUAUCUAUUUUGUAUAUCCUGACAUCAUUCAAUUUUUUCACUAGGAAAAAAAUGUAUUACUAUCUCAUUAGAUGAAUUUGUAUCUUUUUCCUACUAAUUUUUCUGUGUUUGUGAUUUUUUUUCCCCUUCCUUUUUGAGUCAUCUUUUCAUGUCCAGUUACUACUGGAGUCUGUGUCUUUCUUAGAGGUUUUUAUAAAAUCUUUGUAUAAAUUUUAUAGACUAAAAUGUUUAUCACUUUAAAAACAUAUCAUUUAAAAAUAUCUGAUAUAUUUUUUUACAAAACUUAAUUUUUUAAUAAGGAACAUCAAAGUCAUACAUGAAUAUAUUUUAAAAUCAAAUUGUAACACUAUCAAGAAAGUGAAAAGACAACCAACAGAAUGGGAGAAAAUAAUUGCAAAUCACAUAUCCGAUCAGAGUCUAGUAUCCAGAAUAUAAAAAGGACAUGUACAACUCAGCAACAAAAAGAAAAACAAUCCAGUUAAAAAACAGGUAAAGGACAUGAAUAGACAUUUAUCUAGAAAAAGUAUACAAAUGGCUAAAAAGCACCUGCAAAGAUACUCAACUUCAUUAAUCAUCAGGGAAAUGCAACUCAAAAUCACAAUGAGAUGCCACUUCACAACCACUGGGAAAGCUAUAAUUAAAAAAAAAAAAAAAAAAAAAAAGAACAGAAAAUAACAGGUGUUGGCAAGGAUGUGGAGAAACUGGAACCCUCAUACAUUGCUGGUGGGAAUGUAAAAUGGUGUAAUCUCAGUGGAAAACAGUUUGUGAAUUCCUCAAGAAGUUAAUUAUAGAAUUACCCCAUGACCCAGAAAUUCCACUUCUACGUAUACACCCCAAAGAACUAAAAUCAGGUAUUCAAACAACUACUUGAACAAUGAAUGUCCAGAGCAUCACUAUUCACAACAACCCCAAAGAAGAAGUAAAAUAACCGAAAUGUCCUUCAGUUAUUAAGCGGCUAAAUGGGAGUUCCCGUCGUGGCUCAUAAAUACAUUAUAGGGUUAUAGAUUCAUUAAUCCUUAUACAUUAUAGGAUUAGAGAUUCACAGAUUCUUACAAAGGUACUUUAUGGUCUGGCUGCUUUGCUGAAUAAGAUCUCUUUUCUAUUUUCAAGCUGGUGGAUGAUAUGUAGGAAAAUAUACUGUUGAUUUUUAUGGUCUCACUCCUAAUACUUUUGUUCUUCUUACUGAACUUGCUUAUUAAUUCUAAGACACUUUUCCACUGAUUCUUCUGGGUUUUCAGUGAACAGGGCAGGGGUCCAGGGCUGGUUCUAUAAAUGUGUUCAGGCAGGCCAGGGAUGAAAAUGAGGGAUGGUAAGGAUGGCGGGAGGGAAAGCAUGUGUUCCCCAUAUAAAGACACUGAGUUGCAAUUUUGCAAAACACUGUGUGGGCCAAACAAAACAAGCCCACGAAAGAAUCUAGCCUUUGGGACACUAGCCUGCGGCCUCUGCUUCUAGUAUCCCUGUUCCCUCAAGCUCUGCCCUUCCCCCCUGCCCUCCUGGUUUUCCAAAACCUUCCUCUGGGUCCAUCUGCCUCCUGAGGCCUCCCAGGCUCCUCCAGUCUGCACUGGGCUUCCUACUCUUCUCCACAGCUGUCAGGUUCAGAACCAUGUUUAGAAUCAUGGCAAGGCUCAGGGUGGCCCCGAGUUCUUUAAUAAGCCACUUGAGAUGGUUAAUUCCUCCUCGCUGGGCUCCUCCCGCCCAUUCCAGCAUCCUCUGCUUCUGUGGUCAGAGGUUUGCAGUGACCAUUCGGCCCACCCCUUCUUCCUGGGGUCUGGGAGCAACUUGAGCCAGCAGUGAAGUCUGAUUCAUGCCCAACUGCUGGCUCCUGGCAGCGUAGGUACACGGGAAACCUUAUCUGCUGAAUGGUGAAGGCUGUUGGGCAGGUCUUCUUGGCAGGCAUUCCAACUAACCCACGAAUCCAAAACCCAGAUGGAACUUUGUAGAGCAAGCCAAAGAGAACGAUGGGACCCCUGCCCUCUAGGGACCAGGCAAAGCCUCCACAGGGGUGGAUCUGGUUUUCACAUCUGUUACGUAGAGGAAGCCCUCAAAAAAUAGCCACCCAAAAUACAGCCAUAGCAAAGACAAAAAAUGACACAGGAGGGACACCAAUAAAAAGGGGAUAAGAAAAGUCUCAUGGGAUUUCAUGACCUGGAGCACCCCCAGAACAUCUCAGUGAGACGUGAAUAUUUCUGCCCCUAAAUGAGAAUGAUCGCUCUCGCCCCUUCCAAGGCUGUGAAAAGGCUCAUAUUUCAUUCCCAAAUUCUACCUUGGACAGUGGUCCUCACUUCAGAGACGAGGGAAUGGAGGCUGGGAGAAGUGGCUC
rnacentral:lncRNA from 9 species